rnacentral:rRNA from 1 species
GACGAACGCUGGCGGCGUGCUUAACACAUGCAAGUCGAACGGUAAGGCCCUUCGGGGUACACGAGUGGCGAACGGGUGAGUAACACGUGGGUGAUCUGCCCUGCACUUCGGGAUAAGCCUGGGAAACUGGGUCUAAUACCGGAUAGGACCACUGCCUGCAUGGGUGGUGGGGGAAAGCGUUUGCGGUGUGGGAUGGGCCCGCGGCCUAUCAGCUUGUUGGUGGGGUGAUGGCCUCCCAAGGCGACGACGGGUAGCCGGCCUGAGAGGGUGACCGGCCACACUGGGACUGAGAUACGGCCCAGACUCCUACGGGAGGCAGCAGUGGGGAAUAUUGCACAAUGGGCGCAAGCCUGAUGCAGCGACGCCGCGUGAGGGAUGACGGCCUUCGGGUUGUAAACCUCUUUCAGCACCGACGAAGCGCAAGUGACGGUAGGUGCAGAAGAAGGACCGGCCAACUACGUGCCAGCCGCCGCAGUAA